CUACGGGUCGCUGCAGUGAGGAAUUUUGCGCAAUGGGGGAAACCCUGACGCAGCAACGCCGCGUGAGCGAAGAAGGCCUUCGGGCCGUAAAGCUCUGUCAAGUGGGAAAAAAAUUCUUUGAUGAACAGUCAAAGGACUUGAUGGUACCACUGGAGGAAGCACCGGCUAACUCCGUGCCAGCAGCCGCGGUAAUACGGAGGGUGCAAGCGUUGUUCGGAAUUACUGGGCGUAAAGAGCGUGUAGGCGGUUUGACAAGUCAGAUGUGAAAGCCCCGGGCUCAACCCGGGAAGUGCAUUUGAGACUGUUUCACUAGAGUAUGGGAGAGGAGAUUGGAAUUCCUGGUGUAGAGGUGAAAUUCGUAGAUAUCAGGAGGAACACCCGUGGCGAAGGCGAUUCUCUGGACCAAUACUGACGCUGAGACGCGAAAGCGUGGGGAGCAAACAGGAUUAGAUACCCCAGUAGUC
rnacentral:rRNA from 1 species